rnacentral:lncRNA from 1 species
CAGCCUCCCAAGUAGCUGGGAUUACAGGCAUGCAUCACCACACCUGGCUAAGUUUUGUUUUUUUUAGCAGAGACAGGGUUUCGUCAUGUUGGCCAGGCUGGUCUCGAACUCCCGACCUCAGCUGAUCCACCCACCUCGGCCUCCCAAACUGCUGGGAUCACAGGCGUGAGACACCGUGCUGGGCCCUGCUGCAGGUAUUAAUAAUGGAUUCCUUCUCACUGCAGCAUGGUAUCUCAGCAUGGGGGCACCCCAGCCUGUGCAUUCACCCACUGCAGGGCACCUGGGCGGUUUGAGUUUCUGGCCUUUGUGAAUAACACUGCUAUGAACAGACACAUACAGGUUUUUGUGUGAACAGAAGUCUUCAUUACUCUGAUAUGACCGCCAUGAGUGCAAGUGCUCAGUCCUCUGGUCGUUGCAUGUUGAGUUCGUUAAGAAACUGCUGAAGUGUUUUCCAGAACACCUGUGGCAUUCUCCAGUCUCCCCAGCCAUGCGCUUUAAAAAUGUAUUACCACCCACGGGAAUGAAUACAUUUUAUACCAAGGCCAGUAACUACACCCUCCCCCACCCGAUGUGUGAAACCACGUCUCCUUCUGCUCUGCGGGGACCCUAAUACCCCCUACGUCCUACUCUAUUCUCCUUCAUGUCUCUUUCAUUGUUAAAUGCUGGUCUCGACUCGGGAAGCGGAUUUCCAGCCCCCUGCUGCCUCCUUCAGUCUGGACAGGCUGGCUGAUGACGAUGCCCUGAGCCACUUCUAGGUGGAGGAGACACCCUCACCGUGCCUUCUGCGUGCCCAGUUGGAGCCGCCCCUGCCCGACAGUCCCAGGAGCCUGCUGGGAGGUGCUCACUCACCUGCUCCUGCCGCACCACAAACAGGACGUCCUCUCCAGGCCGCACGGCCACCGCCUCGCCUUGAAUGCUGACCUGCAGGCCCCGGGGCGGCGUGAGGGGGCACUGCAGCUGCACCUGACUCUGCUGCAUGUCCACCCCACCCUCACACACGUUGGACACCACUUUCCGGUACCUGGAUUGACAAGAGAGGGUCAGGGUCCGCUUCAGACAGGUGGCAAGGGAUGGGGCCCCAUAGUCUGGGGAGGGACGUGCUUGCCACCCAGAGGUGGCACUUGGCUUCCCACCCCUAGGACUCUACUUGCUAACUCCCAGUCACCUCCUGACUCCACCUGAUUGCUGUUACAGCCCCAUUUUAGAGAUGAGAACACUGAGGCUCAGAGGAAGAAGGACUGAUGGUGGCAGGAUGUGCUUCGGAGGCGCUGGCAUCUCCGUGGUCUGAUCAUAUUACUCACAGUAACAGUAACAGCCACCGUUAGUGCUGCAGAGGGGCUGUUUAAGCAGCCAGUUUCAAUUUCACGGUCUUGCUGAGAAAGGUGGAGGACAGAGUGCCCAAGAGGGCCUGGGGUCCUGCCUCCACCUCGCCACUGGCUCACAGUGUGGCCGUAACCAUGGGCACACACACCCCUCCUCCUGGGCUCCGUCUCCCUGUUCCCUUGAGAGAACUGGAUUGGGCGAUUCGUGACUAAUCACUGCGUUCAUGAGAAACCUAUUUACUGAGCAUCUAUUAUGGGCCAGGUAGUGGGAAUGGGGGUGAUCGCAUGCAGCCCCUAGAUGCUGUGCAGAGCAGACCCUCUAGUGGAGAGGCAGAGGCGGACCUGAGCAGAUCACGUCAGAGUGAAACCACAGCUGUGAUGGCGCUGGCUGGGGCAUCCCUGGGGACCUGGACCCUGACAAAGGGGCUUUCAGCGAGAAUGGGAGGAUGAGCAGGAGAAGAAAGAGCAUCCCAGGCCAUGGGAACAACAUGUGCAAAGGCCCUAGGGUGGGUCUGAGCCUGGAGGAGGAGCGGGUGUGGCACGAGGCUGGAGAGAGGCCCUGGGCAACCUUUUAGGAGAUCCCUAAAAGGGGUGGCCUCAUCCAGCUUGCUACUUGUGAAGCUCCCUCAGGCUACACUAUGCGUCUGUGAAAGUGGCAUUGCUGCCAAGGUGCUGGGGGUACCUGUCUCCCCAAGGCUGAUCCCCCCUCUUGCCCUCAGGGCCAAAUUCUCCCAGAUGGCUCUGCCACUGAAUAAGCAUUCAGAAGUUGAUCAUGCACAGGCCCAUUUCAUUAGUGCUUUGAAAGAAAAUACCCUUCUCUAAGGGCCACCCACCCAUGGCACCUACAGCGUGCAGAUGGUAUGAGAUGAAAUCCUUUGUCUUGAUCAAGAUCCUGGCUCUGACACUUCAGACAAGAGUCCCUGUUGUCAAGCCCAGGUGGAUGUGCAACCACUGCAGCUUCAUGAUACAUAGGCAGUAUGUCCAGCCUCUGGUGGAGGAAAAGCAUCGUAACUGCUUGCACUUGGUGAUGCCUUCCCCUCAUGCACAGCUUGUAUUCAGCAAACCACAGACUGAAGGAACACCUACUGUGUGUUGUGGAGCUUACAGUUCAGCAAGGAGGACAAUUAGGGCCUGCUAUGCACCCAUCUGUGAGGACAUCAAGGAACACCCACAGCCCCAUCCCAGAUGGGCACACAGGGUAACAAGGGAGGCAAAGGGAUGCUGUGAACUCAGAGAAACCUGGAGGGCUGCCUGGAGGAGCCACUGAGAAGGUUUAAAAAUGCACCCACAAAUUCCUUAAAGCUCCUUCCUGGAGUGUGGGCUGGUCUUGGUGACUUGGUUCUAACAGAUGGAAUGAGGCAGAAGUGGCAGUGUGCGACUGUGACACCAGGUUAUAAAAGGCGCUGAGGCUUCCUCCCUCACUCUGAGGGAAGUGGCCGCCAUGCUGUGAGGAUGCUCAAGCAGCGCCUGAGGCCUCGUGGCCAGGAGCCCGUCGCUCACCACAGGAAGUCCGAGUCCCGGCACUCGCACACGCGGGACGUGAGCGCCGACGUGAAGCUCCUCCCCUUGAUGCACCAGGACGUGGACUUUCUUUUCCGGAAACUUCUCUGCUGGCCCAUGAUACAGCGGUCGCCCUGCAGCAGGAACAUCAGGGUUGGAGAGCUCCCAGGAGCUGUAGUCCUCCUCGCCGCACUGCCUGGAGAAUGAGGGCCGGAAGUCCACCUUGACCAGCUCCCAAUCGGAGCGGAAGCUGAUGUGGCCAAAGACCCUGGGGUGGGAAGAGGAGGGAAGGGAGAGAAAACCACCUUCAUUAGGCCUUGUCCUACUGUGCAAAUCAUGUCCCCUCUGGACUCUGUUCCUACCUGUACCAUGGGCACAGAUAUCCUUCUCCUGCCCUUGCUGGAGAUCAGAGCGAGGCUGCCCCGGUCACCGAGCCUGGCCCUGCACACGUGCUCUGUAGGCUUCGGCGUGAAUAUUCCCACAACUACCACCUGUGAUCUAUGACUUGUCAAUUGCACUGCGUGAGUCGCUCUGGUUGGCCCCCAGUGGCCCCGCUUGAUGGACAGGGAAGGAGGCCCAGAUCCACAGCAGAGUUGGGAGCCCUUCCACGGCCCCCACAGUGGUCCUUGCAUUGUUUUGCGGAAUGAUCUGUGGUCAGGUGGCUGCAUCUGCAGCUGUCUGGCUUCUCCCUGGCUUUCUCCCAGCCUGACCGUGUGAGGGUUCCGUGCUGCAGAAACCCAGCUUUCUAUCGCUGGGCCACAGGGCAUUUGCUCCCUAGUAGAGGUGGCGAUUCAAAGAGAAAUAACAAGUCAGCAGGCUCAGCGCAGAGCCCACAGGAUGAGCAAGGUUGGCCCGUCGCAGCCUAGGUGGGUGGGGGAAGAGGCGGAAGACAGAA